rnacentral:lncRNA from 1 species
CUGCAUUGUCUCUGGUGUAGGCACAUGACACAUUCCACCCAAAAAAUUAAGAGAGGCUGUAUCCUGUCCCUGAUCCAAGGUCUAACAGCAUUGGCAGGAUCUCAUAUGAAUGAGCACAGUACUAGAAGACAUCACGAUGAGGCCUUAUUCCAACUUCAGGUUGCAGUGUGUUUUCAACAUGGCACUUAAACUUGUGAAUAUAUUUGGAGUAUUUUUGCACACUGGAGAAUCAUCCUGUCACCUCCACACAUGGAAUAACAUAG